rnacentral:lncRNA from 1 species
AUAUCACUUUAGGCAUGAUUUUAAAUAUAAGAUGGGCGAAAACUCUCAUUUAUUGUUUACGCACCCUUCCAACCAAAAUUUAUAAGUUACAACAUGUCGCAACUCAACAAUUUAGUAAAAAUAAUUUGUCAAUAUCUUUCACGGUUUUUUGAAAAUAAGAGAAAAUAAGCCAAAAUCAAAAUUUAGAAUAUGACCUUGACCUUUGACCUUGACCUUAUUUUCAUUUUUUUGGACCAAGGAACUUAAAUCCAAAGACCCUAGGUCUCUAUCACUGAUGGUUUACCAGUUAGAAAUGCAUAUCACUUAUAUCAAAUGCAAAAGGGGAAAUAACUCUCAUAUGGAGUCUCCGGAUAGCUUCGGUUCAAAUGAAUAUCCUAAUCCUGAAGAAGUAACGAGCAAUUUGGUAAAAUAAAUUUGUCGUAAUUUUUUACGGUUGCGAAGGAGUAGUGGCCACAAGAAAAACAGUGUUUGGGGAGAUAACUCUUACAACAUAAAGUAUUUUGUUACGCAGUUG